rnacentral:tRNA from 1 species
GGGGGCAUAGCUCAGUUGGUAGAGCGCGGCCUUUGCAAGGCUGAGGUCAGGGGUUCGAAUCCCCUUGCCUCCAC